ACAGGGGAAAGAACCAAAUAUGUGUAACACGGCAGACAGGAUCAAAUGUGGGGUCGAAAGCAGAUGGUGCUUUAAAUCACGUGAACCUCGCUGCAAACUGUAAAAGCGACACUUCUUGGAAAUUCCUUGUGCCACAGCUUACUACCCCGCCCACAGACGAGCCUUAUCGAGAAGCAGCAGUUCCUUGUGUUCGGGGCAGUGGGAUCAUCUAGAUAAAACAGCUUCUUCGGUCGGUCUGACAGCUCAGUGGGAAUAAUGAGAGAAGGGUUGUCUCAAAAAAAAAAGACAAGCAUAACCUUUCUAUAGGGGGAAA